rnacentral:rRNA from 1 species
GAUGAACGCUGGCGGCGUGCCUAAUACAUGCAAGUCGAGCGAACAGAUGAGGAGCUUGCUCCUCUGACGUUAGCGGCGGACGGGUGAGUAACACGUGGAUAACCUACCUAUAAGUCUGGGAUAACUUCGGGAAACCGGAGCUAAUACCGGAUAAUAUAUUGAACCGCAUGGUUCAAUAGUGAAAGACGGUUUUGCUGUCACUUAUAGAUGGAUCCGCGCCGCAUUAGCUAGUUGGUAAGGUAACGGCUUACCAAGGCAACGAUGCGUAGCCGACCGGAGAGGGUGAUCGGCCACACUGGAACGGAGACACGGUCCAGACUCCUACGGGAGGCAGCAGUAGGGAAUCUUCCGCAAUGGGCGAAAGCCUGACGGAGCAACGCCGCGUGAGUGAUGAAGGUCUUCGGAUCGUAAAACUCUGUUAUUAGGGAAGAACAAAUGUGUAAGUAACUAUGCACGUCUUGACGGUACCUAAUCAGAAAGCCACGGCUAACUACGUG